rnacentral:rRNA from 1 species
CCUACGGGUGGCAGCAGUGAGGAAUAUUGGUCAAUGGACGAGAGUCUGAACCAGCCAAGUAGCGUGAAGGAUGACUGCCCUAUGGGUUGUAAACUUCUUUUAUAUGGGAAUAAAAUGUUCCACGUGUGGGAUUUUGUAUGUACCAUAUGAAUAAGGAUAGGCUAACUCCGUGCCAGCAGCCGCGGUAAUAUGGAGGAUCCGAGCGUUAUCCGGAUUUAUUGGGUUUAAAGGGAGCGUAGGUGGAUUGUUAAGUCAGUUGUGAAAGUUUGCGGCUCAACCGUAGAAUUGCAGUGGAAACUGGCAGUCGUGAGUACAGUAGAGGUGGGCGGAAUUCGUUGUGUAGCGGUGAAAUGCUUAGAUAUCACGAAGAACUCCGAUUGCGAAGGCAGCUCACUGGACUGCAACUGACACUGAGGCUCGAAAGUGUGGGUAUCAAACAGGAUUAGAUACCCGAGUAGUC